GAUUAGAUACCCUGGUAGUCCAUGCCGUAAACGUUGGGCGCUAGGUGUGGGGUCCAUUCCACGGAUUCCGUGCCGCAGCUAACGCAUUAAGCGCCCCGCCUGGGGAGUACGGCCGCAAGGCUAAAACUCAAAGGAAUUGACGGGGGCCCGCACAAGCGGCGGAGCAUGCGGAUUAAUUCGAUGCAACGCGAAGAACCUUACCAAGGCUUGACAUGCGCGGUGGAAUCCCAGAGAUGGGGUGUCAUUUAGUUGGUCGCGUACAGGUGGUGCAUGGUUGUCGUCAGCUCGUGUCGUGAGAUGUUGGGUUAAGUCCCGCAACGAGCGCAACCCUCGUUCCAUGUUGCCAGCACGUAAUGGUGGGGACUCAUGGGAGACUGCCGGGGUCAACUCGGAGGAAGGUGGGGAUGACGUCAAAUCAUCAUGCCCCUUAUGUCUUGGGCUUCACGCAUGCUACAAUGGCCAGUACAGAGGGCUGCGAUACCGUGAGGUGGAGCGAAUCCCAAAAAGCUGGUCUCAGUUCGGAUCGGGGUCUGCAACUCGACCCCGUGAAGUCGGAGUCGCUAGUAAUCGCAGAUCAGCAACGCUGCGGUGAAUACGUUCCCGGGCCUUGUACACACCGCCCGUCACGUCAUGAAAGUCGGUAACACCCGAAGCCGGUGGCCCAACCCGUAUGGGGGGGAGCUGUCGAAGGUGGGACUGGCGAUUGGGACGAAGUCGUAACAAGG
rnacentral:rRNA from 1 species